CCCGCGAGCGAACCUAAGGCCGA
rnacentral:siRNA from 1 species